CUACGGGCUGCUGCAGUGAGGAAUUUUGCGCAAUGGGCGAAAGCCUGACGCAGCGACGCCGCGUGGGGGAUGAAGGCCUUCGGGUUGUAAACCCCUUUCAUGAGGAAAAAAGUCCCGAGCAAUCGGGAUGAUGGUACCUCAAGAAGAAGCCACGGCUAACUCUGUGCCAGCAGCCGCGGUAAGACAGAGGUGGCAAGCGUUGUUCGGAAUUACUGGGCUUAAAGGGCGUGUAGGCGUCUCAGUAAGUCAGGUGUGGAAGCCCCCGACUUAAUCGGGGAAUUGCAUUUGAAACUGCUGGGAUUGAGUAAGGCAAGGGAGGGCAGAAUUCCUGGUGUAGCGGUGAAAUGCGUAGAUAUCAGGAGGAAGGCCUGUGGCGAAGGUGGCCCUCUAGGCCUUUACUAACGCUGAGGCGCGAAAGCGUGGGUAGCAAACAGGAUUAGAUACCCCGGUAGUC
rnacentral:rRNA from 1 species